UGAAUUGCAGAAUCCCGUGAACCAUCGAGUCUUUGAACGCAAGUUGCGCCUGAAGCCAUUAGGCUGAGGGCACGUCUGCCUGGGCGUCACGCAUCGCGUCACCCCUCCCCCAAUCCUGGUGGGUGGGGUG
rnacentral:rRNA from 2 species